UGGCCAUUCCUGGGACCAUCAAAAAUGGCAGAGGUCACACAAAAGGCAAAACCUUUAAGAGGUGUUUUAAACAUCGUAUGGGCCAAAGAGAAUCUGGAUUUCCUAUUGCAGUCAGCUGUAACACACGUGUGACAAAUUGGGCUGUGAGGACAAGGCAGUGAGUAGAGACGACAGCAGUCCUUAUGAGAUCAAGCUCUAAGAAAAGUUGCUAAAACCGCUGUGAGAUUCUGGCUAAGAAAAUUUCAUGAGAAGUUUUACAGAAAAAUGUGAACAGAAGAAAGAACUAGAUAUAAAUUUGAAUGUUUUGAGAAGAAUGCAAAGAAGAAGGGAAGAGUGAGCCUCUCUUUUCCCAUCGUUACCCUCCAUUGUCCUCUUGACACCCUGCUUUUGCAGACAGAGAGUUUGAGACCCUCUCCCAGGAGCCAAGGAGAGGGGAACAGCUGGCUUCACAUCAUCUUUCUAUUCAACAAGACACAAAAAGCUGAAGCCAGGAUGAUAGAAAAGCAACAAAGAAGACACGGUCCUUACUCAUUUCCCUUCCCGCUUCAGAGCAAAUAUGGUGCCUGGUGUUCGAAGGGAGAACUUGUGGGCAGAGCAGGAAGCGUGUAUCCAUUUUCUUAUUUCAUCUUAUUUUCCUGCAUGUGUGUUCAUGACUUGGACCUGAUAUGAGAUUUUUUGCCUCAAUAUUACCCCUUGG
rnacentral:lncRNA from 1 species